GCCGACCCCAGGUCAGGCGGG
rnacentral:rRNA from 1 species